rnacentral:rRNA from 1 species
UUAAGUUGCAGGGUAUAGACCCGAAACCCGGUGAUCUAGCCAUGGGCAGGUUGAAGGUUGGGUAACACUAACUGGAGGACCGAACCGACUAAUGUUGAAAAAUUAGCGGAUGACUUGUGGCUGGGGGUGAAAGGCCAAUCAAACCGGGAGAUAGCUGGUUCUCCCCGAAAGCUAUUUAGGUAGCGCCUCGUGAAUUCAUCUCCGGGGGUAGAGCACUGUUUCGGCAAGGGGGUCAUCCCGACUUACCAACCCGAUGCAAACUGCGAAUACCGGAGAAUGUUAUCACGGGAGACACACGGCGGGUGCUAACGUCCGUCGUGAAGAGGGAAACAACCCAGACCGCCAGCUAAGGUCCCAAAGUCAUGGUUAAGUGGGAAACGAUGUGGGAAGGCCCAGACAGCCAGGAUGUUGGCUUAGAAGCAGCCAUCAUUUAAAGAAAGCGUAAUAGCUCACUGGUCGAGUCGGCCUGCGCGGAAGAUGUAACGGGGCUAAACCAUGCACCGAAGCUGCGGCAGCGACGCUUAUGCGUUGUUGGGUAGGGGAGCGUUCUGUAAGCCUGUGAAGGUGUGCUGUGAGGCAUGCUGGAGGUAUCAGAAGUGCGAAUGCUGACAUAAGUAACGAUAAAGCGGGUGAAAAGCCCGCUCGCCGGAAGACCAAGGGUUCCUGUCCAACGUUAAUCGGGGCAGGGUGAGUCGACCCCUAAGGCGAGGCCGAAAGGCGUAGUCGAUGGGAAACAGGUUAAUAUUCCUGUACUUGGUGUUACUGCGAAGGGGGGACGGAGAAGGCUAUGUUGGCCGGGCGACGGUUGUCCCGGUUUAAGCGUGUAGGCUGGUUUUCCAGGCAAAUCCGGAAAAUCAAGGCUGAGGCGUGAUGACGAGGCACUACGGUGCUGAAGCGACAAAUGCCCUGCUUCCAGGAAAAGCCUCUAAGCAUCAGGUAACAUCAAAUCGUACCCCAAACCGACACAGGUGGUCAGGUAGAGAAUACCAAGGCGCUUGAGAGAACUCGGGUGAAGGAACUAGGCAAAAUGGUGCCGUAACUUCGGGAGAAGGCACGCUGAUAUGUAGGUGAAGUCCCUCGCGGAUGGAGCUGAAAUCAGUCGAAGAUACCAGCUGGCUGCAACUGUUUAUUAAAAACACAGCACUGUGCAAACACGAAAGUGGACGUAUACGGUGUGACGCCUGCCCGGUGCCGGAAGGUUAAUUGAUGGGGUCAGCGCAAGCGAAGCUCUUGAUCGAAGCCCCGGUAAACGGCGGCCGUAACUAUAACGGUCCUAAGGUAGCGAAAUUCCUUGUCGGGUAAGUUCCGACCUGCACGAAUGGCGUAAUGAUGGCCAGGCUGUCUCCACCCGAGACUCAGUGAAAUUGAACUCGCUGUGAAGAUGCAGUGUACCCGCGGCAAGACGGAAAGACCCCGUGAACCUUUACUAUAGCUUGACACUGAACAUUGAGCCUUGAUGUGUAGGAUAGGUGGGAGGCUUAGAAGUGUGGACGCCAGUCUGCAUGGAGCCGACCUUGAAAUACCACCCUUUAAUGUUUGAUGUUCUAACGUUGACCCGUAAUCCGGGUUGCGGACAGUGUCUGGUGGGUAGUUUGACUGGGGCGGUCUCCUCCUAAAGAGUAACGGAGGAGCACGAAGGUUGGCUAAUCCUGGUCGGACAUCAGGAGGUUAGUGCAAUGGCAUAAGCCAGCUUGACUGCGAGCGUGACGGCGCGAGCAGGUGCGAAAGCAGGUCAUAGUGAUCCGGUGGUUCUGAAUGGAAGGGCCAUCGCUCAACGGAUAAAAGGUACUCCGGGGAUAACAGGCUGAUACCGCCCAAGAGUUCAUAUCGACGGCGGUGUUUGGCACCUCGAUGUCGGCUCAUCACAUCCUGGGGCUGAAGUAGGUCCCAAGGGUAUGGCUGUUCGCCAUUUAAAGUGGUACGCGAGCUGGGUUUAGAACGUCGUGAGACAGUUCGGUCCCUAUCUGCCGUGGGCGCUGGAGAACUGAGGGGGGCUGCUCCUAGUACGAGAGGACCGGAGUGGACGCAUCACUGGUGUUCGGGUUGUCAUGCCAAUGGCACUGCCCGGUAGCUAAAUGCGGAAGAGAUAAGUGCUGAAAGCAUCUAAGCACGAAACUUGCC